rnacentral:lncRNA from 1 species
AGGUUGACAUCUUUGUCACCACCACUGGUAACAAGGACAUCAUUAUGGUUGAUGACAUGAGGAAGAUGAAAAACAAUGCCAUUGUCUGCAACAUUGGUCAUUUUGACAAUGAAAUUGACAUGCUUGGCCUUGAGACAUUCCCUGGUGUGCAGAGAAUCACAAUCAAGCCCCAGACUGACAGGUGGGUCUUUCCCGACACUGGCAGAGGCAUCAUUAUCUUAGCUGAGGGACGUCUCAUGAACUUGGGUUGUGCUACUGGUCACCCCAGUUUCGUGAUGUCUUGCUCUUUCACCAAUCAAGUGAUCGCCCAGCUGGAGUUAUGGAACGAGAGGAGCUCCGGGAAGUAUGAGAAGAAAGUGUAUGUAUUGCCCAAGCACCUUGAUG